rnacentral:rRNA from 1 species
GAUGAACGCUGGCGGCGUGCCUAACACAUGCAAGUCGAACGGACUUUUCAUGAAGCCUAGCGAUUGAAAAGUUAGUGGCGGACGGGUGAGUAACGCGUGGGUAACCUGCCUUGUACUGGGGGACAACAGUUGGAAACGACUGCUAAUACCGCAUAAGCGCACAGCUUCGCAUGAAGCAGUGUGAAAAACUCCGGUGGUACAAGAUGGACCCGCGUCUGAUUAGCUGGUUGGUGAGGUAACGGCCCACCAAGGCGACGAUCAGUAGCCGGCCGGAGAGGGUGAACAGCCACAUUGGGACUGAGACACGGCCCAAACUCCUACGGGAGGCAGCAGUGGGGAAUAUUGCACAAUGGGGGAAACCCUGAUGCAGCAACGCCGCGUGAGUGAAGAAGUAUUUCGGGAUGUAAAGCUCUAUCAGCAGGAAAGAGAAUGACGGUACCUGACUAAGAAGCCCCGGCUAACUACGUGCCAGCAGCCGCAGUAA